AUCUACGGGCAUACCACCCUGAACCCACCCUAUCUCGUCUGAUGUCAGACGCUAAACAGUGUGGGGCCUGGUUAGUACUUGAAUGGGAGACCGCCUGGGAAUACCGGGUGCUGUAGGCU
ensembl:rRNA 5S_rRNA 5S ribosomal RNA